GGGUGGUGUUUGGAUCGUCCCUGCCGGCUGGCUCCGUGCCCGUCCACCGAACGGUCGGCAGGCGAUCCGCGUCGGUCGCGCGGGGUGGCAUGGUUCCCCUGAGGCCGGUUCUUGUGUUGCCUACCCUUCAAGGGGAAGCAGGCCUCCUGACGGUUGAAAGCCUCCAUCCGGCGCCCUCCAACGGGCGCAGGAGGACAACGUAGCACCCCCCGCGUUCCACCGAACCCUCGCCGGUCGCGUGGCACGCGGGGACGUGCGACGCUCUCGGACCCAGCGCACGCCGUGGGCGAGGACUCACGUCCCGGUCCCAAGAGAAAGCCUCGAUACAACGCAUGACGGCCGCUCCCGCCCCCCGACCGCCCCGGCGGCGAGGGGGCGCGGCGCGGCGUCGCGGAGGAAUGCUACCU
rnacentral:misc_RNA from 1 species